GAUGACGCUGGCUACAGGCUUAAUACAUGCAAGUCGAACGAGUGGCGGACGGGUGAGUAGUGUCUUGGAAACUGCGCGAUCGAGGGGGAUAACGGCUGGAAACCGUGGAUACUACUGCUUACCAUCGGUUCUGCCGUGAUGGGAUUCGCUAGUAGGUGGGGUAAAGGCUCAUCUAGGCGACGAUGCCUAGCUGGUCUGAGAGGAUGACCAGCCACACUGGAACUGAGACACGGUCCAGACUCCUACGGGAGGCAGCAGUAGGGAAUAUUGCACAAUGGGCGCAAGCCUGAUGGAGCCAUGCCGCGUGUAUGAAGAAGGCUUUCGGGUUGUAAAAUACUUUCGGCGGGGAGGCGUUACCCGAAGAAGAAGCAACGGCUAACUCCGUGCCAGCAGCCGCGGUAAUAC
rnacentral:rRNA from 1 species